rnacentral:rRNA from 1 species
UGCAAGUCGAACGAAGGCCCUAGCUUGCUAGGUGUCCUUAGUGGCGCACGGGUGAGUAACACGUGGGAACAUACCUCAUAGUACGGAAUAACUGCGGGAAACUGUAGCUAAUACCGUAUAUUCCAGAAAUGGGAAAGAUUUAUCGCUAUGAGAUUGGCCCGCGCAAGAUUAGCUUGUUGGUAAGGUAAUGGCUUACCAAGGCUCCGAUCUUUAGCUGGUUUGAGAGGAUGAUCAGCCACACUGGGACUGAGACACGGACCAGACUCCUACGGGAGGCAGCAGUAGGGAAUAUUGGACAAUGGGGGAAACCCUGAUCCAGCAAUGCAGCGUGAGUGACGAAGGCCUUAGGGUUGUAAAACUCUUUCAUCGGUGAGGAUAAUGACAGUAGCCGAAGAAGAAGGACCGGCUAAUUCCGUGCCAGCAGCCGCGGUAAUACGGAAGGUCCUAGCGUUGUUCGGAAUUACUGGGCGUAAAGCGCAUGUAGGCGGAACAAAAAGUUAGAAGUGAAAUCCCUGGGCUCAACCUAGGAAUGGCUUUUAAAACUUUUGUUCUGGAAUUCAGGAGAGGAAAAUGGAAUUUCCAGUGUAGAGGUGAAAUUCGUAGAUAUUGGAAGGAACACCAGUGGCGAAGGCGAUUUUCUGGACUGAUAUUGACGCUGAGAUGCGAAGGCAUGGGUAGCAAACGGGAUUAGAUACCCCGGUAGUCCAUGCAGUAAACGAUGGGUGCUAGUCGUCGGACUUUUGUUCGGUGUCGUAGCUAACGCGUUAAGCACCCCGCCUGGGGAGUACGGUCGCAAGAUUAAAACUCAAAUAAAUUGACGGGGACCCGCACAAGCAGUGGAGCAUGUGGUUUAAUUCGACGCAACGCGAAGAACCUUACCAGCGUUUGACAUGGGAAGUGCCGGUUACAGAAUGGUAACCUUCAGUUCGGCUGGCUUCCACACAGGUGCUGCAUGGCUGUCGUCAGCUCGUGUC